AAACCCAGACCUGUACGUAUUGAAUUCUAGCCCAAUUCUUUUCUCAAGCCCAAAUUUAUUUGCUCAAUUUCAAUUUUCACUUUUUUGUGUGUGCCAAAGUUAGGAAGGGGAGGGGAGAAAAUUCACACACGGGUACUGUGGGGUUUCGAAACCAAUAUCACUUAGGAGCACACCAAAGACCUGAGUCAAACCAACUACCACCCAAUUAGUAAGAAUUUUUACAUUCAAUAACAUUAAGUUAAGCUAGGAUUAAAAAUAAAUAAAACACAAAUGGACUACUAGUUAUUGAACAUUGCAUGUGUAACUAAAGAAAAUAAUCUAUGCAUAUGUAAAAUUGUGAUUUGUAUGUAACUAUGUAGGGAAUCAAAUAUUUUCUUCGAG
rnacentral:lncRNA from 1 species